GCUUUAGUUUCUCUGGUCAGCUUACUAUCUAUUGUGUAUGUAGUUUGAAAGGUUUCUGUCCGGCAUAUCCUGUUGGCAGUCAUACACAUUUAUUCGAGGAGGUCACUUUGAGUUAUAUUUGAUCGUUUUCCUCAAUAUCAGCCCCUUGCUGAUUGUGGAUGUGGAACACUGUGUGCAUUCAUGGAACUCGAUAUUUGUGUAUUGAGGAUUUCAUUAUCCAGAAUGAUGUGACCUUAACCAACCUUGAACGUUGCUGCGAACCACUGAGUUAAGCUCAUUGCCACACAGUGGGUUUACUAUGAUU